UAGAUCUGCAAAUACUAAAAUUGCAAGGACAAACUGUACCUUUAACUCACACUGGGCUUCUUCUAGGGUACCAGUGGACUGGAUAAUAAGUUUUCUUUUCUUUUUUUAGAAUCUAUCUUCAAGAAGCUGAGAAAGCAGAAACCUGGGAAUUAAUGGAUUCAGUAUUAUAAAUAUCAGGAAAUCCUGAGAGUUGUCAUGAAACCCUCUGCCACUUUUCCAAUAUUUUAUUAGUAGGGAAAUAGUGAAAAUGAAUGGAUCUGACAGAUACAAGCAGUUGAGAGUAUGGCCUAAAGAAAAAAAAUCCACUGAACAUCAUGCAAUUAGAAGUGCCAUUAGGCAAGGGGUCAAUGGAUUGGCUGGAGAAAGCUGGAAGCUUGAAAUGACUGUCUACAAGGUGAUCAAGAACACAGCACCUGGAUGAAGGGAGGAGCAGGAGAAAAGGUGGUGACAGUAAGCAAGGAGAGCAAACCUUCAGAGGGCUAAGGGGAAGCCCUUCACCCCUACAGUUUUGGCACUGUGAACAGGAUCUCAUCAAAGCGUCUCUGCUUUUCAGGGAGCCGCAGUGAAAGAAACCCAGGACCUGACAAGCCAACAGAAAGGUAAGAAGUUUUACCAGCCAGGUUCCUGGUC